GAUGAACGCUAGCGGGAGGCCUAACACAUGCAAGCCGAGCGGUAGAGUUUCUUCGGAAACUUGAGAGCGGCGCACGGGUGCGUAGCACGUGUGCAACCUACCUUUAUCUGGGGGAUAGCCUUUCGAAAGGAAGAUUAAUACCCCAUAAUAUAAUGAUUGGCAUCAAUUAUUAUUGAAAACUCCGGUGGAUAGAGAUGGGCACGCGCAAGAUUAGAUAGUUGGUGAGGUAACGGCUCACCAAGUCAAUGAUCUUUAGGGGUCCUGAGAGGGAGAUCCCCCACACUGGUACUGAGACACGGACCAGACUCCUACGGGAGGCAGCAGUGAGGAAUAUUGGACAAUGGGUGGGAGCCUGAUCCAGCCAUCCCGCGUGAAGGAUGACGGUCCUAUGGAUUGUAAACUUCUUUUGUACAGGGAUAAACCUACCCUCGUGAGGGUAGCUGAAGGUACUGUACGAAUAAGCACCGGCUAACUCCGU
rnacentral:rRNA from 1 species